rnacentral:rRNA from 6 species
AUUCCAGCUCCAAUAGCGUAUAUUAAAGUUGUUGCAGUUAAAAAGCUCGUAGUUGGAUGUGUGGUGGCUCUGUGCGGUCCAAAUUCUUUUGGUGCUGUGUUGAGCUGCCAUCCUUGGGUGGAACCUGUGGGGCAUUAGGUUGUUCUGCAGGGGAUGCCCAUCGUUUACUGUGAAAAAAUUAGAGUGUUCAAAGCAGGCUUACGCCGUUGAAUAUAUUAGCAUGGAAUAAUGAGAUAGGACUUUGGUGCUAUUUUGUUGGUUUGCGCGCCGAAGUAAUGAUUAAUAGGGACAGUUGGGGGUAUUCGUAUUCCAUUGUCAGAGGUGAAAUUCUUGGAUUUCUGGAAGACGAACUACUGCGAAAGCAUUUACCAAGGAUGUU